CUAGAGCCGAUUUACGCAAUCGAAUACCGCCGGAAGUAGAACAUUUAUGUAAACACCGGUUUCGUAUUUUCACGUGAAAACGGCCGAAAACCGAGAGGUUAUCAACAAAUUAUAAAUUUACGGGUUCCAUGAGAAUUUUUCAUGCAUUUAAACGACAGAAGUAGAAGUGAACAGAUGACAUAUUAAAGUGGCUACAGAAGCUUGAAAAGUUAGAUAGAGCAGGGGCAGUCAAAACAGUGGGAUAAUACUUCUAUGGUGUCCAACAUGUCUAGUCAGGUUGACAGAAGUGAAAGAUGGUCUGAUGGUACAAUGAUGUACAAAUGAUACUCUUUAACAAGUUUAAGAUGUCAAGGUGUAAAAUGUUCUGUGGAUUCAUAUGAUGAGAAUGCCAUUGUUGAUCUGUAUGACUUAA
rnacentral:lncRNA from 1 species